AUGAGUAUCAUGCUGAAAUUGAUAAACAACCCUGCUAGAAAGCCAUACACGGUGGAAAGACAAGAUGUAAGGGCAAAUGAGAUCCUUCGCAUACCAUUCAAGAGGCUGCCGGUCGGCUGCGCGCUGGUCCGUGCCCUCUGCGCUGCCACCCUCGACCCUCAGAUGUCGCGUGCCGCCGCCUGCCGUUCCUGCAUGCUUGCAGCGGCCGAGUUCUACCUGGAUUCAGGGAUCGUCGCGAGGUCCCUGACUGGGCCGUUGCGGGUUCAAUCCCCCCCCCCACCCCCGCGAAUCAGUUUCCUCUAUAAGCUUGAGUUUCUGAACCUUCAAUUGAAUCAUUUCACUGGAUUAAUCCCAUCAAGUCUGGGCAACAUCACCCAACUAGAGUAUCUCUACUCUACCUAGAUGACAAUCAGCUCGAAGGGAGCAUUCCUACAGAGCUUGGACAAUUAGCAAAGUUGUUCCAAUUGAGCCUAGGAAAGAACAAGCUAUCAGGUAUCAUCCCAACAACAAUUUUGAAUCAUUCUUCUCUUUCAAUUUUGGACGUGAAUACGAAUUCUCUACGUAUGGCAUUGCCAUCCACCAUUGGCAAUACCCUUCCUAACCUCCAGGCGCUUGGGUUGAACAAUAACAAGUUCCAUGGUCAAAUCCCUGCCUCUCUAGGUAAUCCUCCAUACCUCUCGAUAAUACAACUCAAUUCUAACUAUUUCACCGGUCCAAUUCCUAGUUCAUUGGGAAAUCUUUCCUACCUGAGAAAGCUAAUACUAGAUCAAAACAAGCUUCAAGCAAAUGACACUAAGAGCUGGGAAUUCUUAGACGCAUUGAGCAACUGUAGUGAUCUCCAAGUGCUCUCAUUAUAUGACAAUCAGCUACAGGGAGCCAUACCAAACUGAAUAAGAAAGUUGCCCCCCGGUCUUCAUUACCUAGCGUUAGACAAAAACACCUUGACUGGGAUGGUUCCAAAGAGCAUAGGAAAUCUUACCAGCUUAAAUGGUCUGUUACUAGGUCAAAACUACCUGGGAGGCCCAAUCGGAGCAUGGAUUGGAAAGUUCAAAAACCUUGGAACUUAAGUCUUUCGGAGAACUACUUCAGUGGGCCAAUUCCAUCCUCCAUUAUUGGUAAUUUUACUCAAUUAAGAAAGCUCUACCUUCAUAGCAACAAAUUUGAAGGUCUCAUAUAGCAGAACUAUAGGUUACAUUGCUCUAGGUAUAAACUAAUAAUGUUUCCAUCUCAUGUAUUUGUAGAAAGCAAUCUGUCACGUGCUCAAUAAUUUUUCUCUCUAUGCUUUUAUAGUAUGCUCAAACUGUUCAUUUGCAUCAACCUAUGGGAAUGUUUAUAUAUAGUUUUGGAAUAGUACUUCUUGAGAUGAUCAUAGGCAAAAGACCAAUUGAUCCUCAGUUCGAUGGUGGGCUCAGCAUCGCCAGCUUUGUGGAGAGAAACUUUCCAGGUCAGGUGUUACAUAUCAUUGAUCCUCAUCUCCAAGAAGAAUGUAAGGGCCUUAUUCAAGCAUCGGCAACAACUGAAAAUGAUGUCUAUCGACGUGUGGCUGUCUCUUGUGCAAGUUGCUCUUGCUUGCACGCGUCCAUUCCCAAGGGAAAGAAUGAACAUGAGAGAAGUAGCCAUUAACUUGCAUGCAAUUAGAAAUUCAUAUGUUGCGGCGAUUAAAUGAGAGUAAGUCAUGUUUUGCAAGCAGUGGCGUAGCUAGGAUUUCAGUUUAGGGUGGUCCAGUGGCUUGUUUUCUGACCCUCUAUGAUUGGAUUUCAGUAAGUGUCACACUAUUGUCUUGAGGAAAAAUUGAAUGCAGAACAUCACCAUAGCGAAA